rnacentral:rRNA from 1 species
AUUGAACGCUGGCGGCAGGCCUAACACAUGCAAGUCGAGCGGAUGAGUGGAGCUUGCUCCAUGAUUCAGCGGCGGACGGGUGAGUAAUGCCUAGGAAUCUGCCUGGUAGUGGGGGACAACGUUUCGAAAGGAACGCUAAUACCGCAUACGUCCUACGGGAGAAAGCAGGGGACCUUCGGGCCUUGCGCUAUCAGAUGAGCCUAGGUCGGAUUAGCUAGUUGGUGAGGUAACGGCUCACCAAGGCGACGAUCCGUAACUGGUCUGAGAGGAUGAUCAGUCACACUGGAACUGAGACACGGUCCAGACUCCUACGGGAGGCAGCAGUGGGGAAUAUUGGACAAUGGGCGAAAGCCUGAUCCAGCCAUGCCGCGUGUGUGAAGAAGGUCUUCGGAUUGUAAAGCACUUUAAGUUGGGAGGAAGGGCAGUAAGUUAAUACCUUGCUGUUUUGACGUUACCGACAGAAUAAGCACCGGCUAACUUCGUGCCAGCAGCCGCGGUAA